UGCUGUCAGGUGAAAACCUUGUAUGUCCAAAGCCAAUCAAAACCAUCCCUUUUCAGGAAAUAAAAAAGGCUCAUUUGAAAACAUUCAAUUGAGCUAUUAACCUCAGACAAAGUCAGACAAAAUCACCUUGUCCCUGUUUAAAUAUCUGUUAAACCCACAGAGGUAAAACGGCCAAUAGCA